rnacentral:lncRNA from 1 species
CAGUCAUAACUUUUCGACGAUCUCGUUCCCUUCGAAUUGUUGCAUAGGCUGCCUCUGAGGUAGGUAAAGGUUCUGUUUUCAGCAAAUCUCUUUUAUCUGAAUCAAAUUCUUCUCCAAUUCCAGCAAGAAAUUGAUACAAUUUCUGGUUCGAUCUGAGUUUAUUAAACAUUGUGAUGUCAUCUGCACAAAUCAUAGGAUUAGGUUGUCUGACUUCUAUCUCCCGCCAUAGUCUCUGCAAUUUACUGUAAUAAACCUCCAAUGUAUCUGUGCCUUGUUUCAUUGUGUUUGCUCGAACCGUAAGAUCAAACAAUUGAACUCCUUCUCGUCCCUGACUGUAGGUUGUAGCCAGACCAUCCCAUAAAUCCUUGGC